AAAGCAACUUAACGAAUCUGUCAAAAAAGUUGAGAACAUGUGUAAUCAAAUGGGAGCAUACACACUAGGCAACUGGCAACUUUGGUCGGACCAACUUUUUCGAUUCAACUCAGCAUGUCGAGUCGCGCGCGAUUUGUGUCGGCAACCUUUUCGUUCAAUUGCUGUUGACGUUUUUUCUGAUUUCUGCGUUCAUUGAAUUUCAAUAUCUGUCAGUGGUGAUGCAAAACAGUGUUUACAAUAUUGGCGCAUCUGUUUCUAUGAACGAACGAGAUGAAAUGCCAUCAAUAUGCAAGUUCUCUUGAUAUACCGUCCGGGAAGAGUGCUGAAUUGGUCAAGGAUGCGUAUAAUAUUGGAGAUUGAGCAAGAAGCACAGAAUCCGCUGGAUGUGUUUUUUCCAAGUUAACAGCAAUUUUUGCUGUCUGUUGUUAUCAGCGAGCCGAAAUAAGUAUGUUAGAUAGCCUAAGAUUGGAUAAUUCUGGUCAGAUUUCCCGGGAAACCGUUAUCAUCCCUGAUUCUCGAUUGUACCAUGUGCGAAGGUGCGGUCUGCGAAUAUGUGACCCCUGGGAGAAUUUUUCAUAUUUAGCGUUAGUGUAUACAUAAAUCAUUCUUUAGAAGAAUUGUUGAAAAUUUUUCUGUUUUCUUUAUAUAAUUCUUUUCGGCUGUAUUCUUAUUUCAAGGAUUUUUUUAUGUUUGUAAAUAUUGUUUGCUGGUUUGUGGUAUUACUCCAACGAAAAAUA